AAUAGGAGAGCACAUGGAGCAGUCACUACCGAUUAGUUGAUAACUCAUGACAUCUUACUGUCAAGAAGGCAAAAACUGGGGACCUGAAGAACUUCUGACUAUUUCACCAAUGAACUGGAUUUGGAGUGGUGGAAAAAAGUUAUUACUACUUACAAAGACAGGCUGAGGGAGCUGGGCUUGUUCAGCCUGGAGAAGAGAAGGCUGUGGGAUGACCUCAUUGCAGCCUUCCAGUACCUGAAAGGAGCCUACAAACAGAAGGAGCGUCAACUCUUUACAAGGGUAGAUAAUGGCAGAACAAGGGGAAACGGUUUAAAGUUGAAGGAGGGAAGAUUUUGUUUGGAUAUCAGGGAGAAGUUCUUUACCAAGAGAGUGGUGAGGUGCUGGAACAGGCUCCCCAGAGAGGGUGUGGAUGCCUGGUCUCAUGUUCAAGGUGUUCAAGACCAGGCUGGAUGGGGCCCUGGGCAGCCUGCUCUGGUAUUAGAUGUGGAG
rnacentral:lncRNA from 1 species